rnacentral:rRNA from 1 species
AUGGCGUCCUCCGGUGCUCAUGAGCGUCGUCCACGCAGCCGAGAGGACUGGGCGAACCUGGACGCCGGACCGGUGGGGCUUGUCGCCGAGCACCUACUGCGCAACGACGUCGUCGACCUCGUCCGCCUCCGCGCUGUGUGCAGGUCGUGGCGCGCGAGCUCCGCCCACCUGCGCGCGCAGGGCGUCCUGGACCGGCGGUUCCACCCCCGGCGGUGGAUAAUGCUCCCAAAAGAAUUCGACAUCCGCGGCCGGCGACGCUUCCUCAAUGUCUUCACCGGCAAGUCCAUCUACCAGGAGCUCCCGUAUGCAGAUCUCCUCAGCGAGUAUGUUCUCACGACCACAUCUGAGGGUCUCAUUCUUCAACUAGGCACCUGCGCCGGCCAGCUCCUUAACCCGCUGACCGGACAUGUCGCCGGGCUUCCAAGUGCGGCCACGCUGCUCUUCGGGCAGACCCUAACUAAUCUUGAGGUGAGCGGUGUGGGCCUUGCCAACGAUGACACGGUUGUGCUUCAUUUUCGCUCAUUCUACGUAGCUGUAGCUAAGCUCGGCGACGAACGCUGGACGCACGUCCAUUCCCACGACAGGAUCAUAUCAGUCUUGCCGUUCGCAGGCCGCGUCUACUGUGCCACGUCAAAGAACAUCUCGUCGGUUCAAACUAGCUCAAACCGCGACACCGAACCAACCGCCGUGGCUUGUGGUGGCCGCCGACCAUGGACUACACACGGGGUUCUAGUCGCUCGAGGAAUUCGAAUACCAAUUGUUCAUGGGGGUUGUACGCCCCAAAUCGUCAGAGAUUGCAAUGUCAGCAUGUAUCGGGUGAACUGGAACGCAAAGAACACGGUGCCCCAACAUGGCCUCGAUGGAAAAGUCUUGUUUCUCGGCAAGAAGAUACUCCUGGUGGCUCCUGGAGUGUCCCCCUCCAUCAAUGCUGACUCCAAAUACCUGUGUUGGUCAAAGCCCAAGUGCAAUUAUGAUGCUACUGAUUAUGCCGUUGAUGUUCUUUUGGGUGGAGGCGCCGAGGCCAAGUUUAAGAAAGAUGAUGCUGCAUAUUAUUUAUCAUGCUAUGUCUCUCAUUCUUAUAGUGAGCAUGUCUAG